CUCAAAGAGAAUGUGCUAAAAGAUUUAAUAUUUCUAAAGGUACUGUUCACAUGAUUCAUAAAUUCAAAGAAGACAUUAUCAAACGGCAUGCAAAUAAAGACCAUAUGGUAAAUUUAACUCCAUGCAUUUCAUUCCACGAGGACAAUGAUAACCGAAAUUUGGAUUUGGUGAACAAUACGAAUGAGGAAUCGAAAAAGAAUUUAUCGUAAUGACGCUUAAAUACAAAUGGGAAAUAUAUUUUAUGACCUAAAAAUGAUACAUAAAAAAGCGGUGAUUAUCCAAGAGCAGAAACAGAGGUGCACCGAUAACACAGUUUGGUAUCAGUGGCAUUGUUCAGUAUCGGUAUUGGACGAUACUUUCGAUUUUACCCGAGUGGUUGACUUAAAAAUAAUAAUUGACCUUUAUAUUUAACAAAAUAUUGUUCACAUUAGCU